rnacentral:rRNA from 1 species
GAUGAACGCUGGCGGCGUGCCUAAUACAUGCAAGUCGAGCGAACAGAUAAGGAGCUUGCUCCUUUGACGUUAGCGGCGGACGGGUGAGUAACACGUGGAUAACCUACCUAUAAGACUGGGAUAACUUCGGGAAACCGGAGCUAACACCGUAUAACAUAUUGCACCGCAUGGUUCAAUAGUGAAAGGCGGCGGUGCUGUCACUUAUAGAUGGAUCCGCGCCGUAUUAGCUAGUUGUUAAGUUAACGGCUUACCACGGCAACUAUACGUAACCGACCUGAGAGGGUGAUCGGCGACACUGGAACUGAGACGGGGUCCAGAGGCCUACGGGAGGCAGCAGUAGGGAAUCUGACGCAAUGGGCGAAAGCCUGACGGAGCAGCGCCGCGUGAGUGAUGAAGGUCCUCGGAUCGGAAAGCUCGGUUAUCAGGGAAGAACAAAUUUGUAAGGAGCUGUGCACAGCGUGACGGUACCUGAUCAGAAAGCCACGGCUAACUACGUG